rnacentral:rRNA from 1 species
CACGUAGGGCGCAAGCGUUGUCCGGAAUUAUUGGGCGUAAAGAGCUCGUAGGCGGUCUGUUGCGUCCGCUGUGAAAACUCGGGGCUUAACCCCGAGCCUGCAGUGGAUACGGGCAGACUAGAGGUAGGUAGGGGAGAAUGGAAUUCCCGGUGUAGCGGUGAAAUGCGCAGAUAUCGGGAGGAACACCGGUGGCGAAGGCGGUUCUCUGGGCCUUACCUGACGCUGA